rnacentral:tRNA from 1 species
GGUGGCAUAGCCAAGUGGUAAGGCACGGGUCUGCAAAACCCAGAUCCCCGGUUCAAAUCCGGGUGUCACCUCCA